rnacentral:rRNA from 1 species
CGGCAGCACGGGGGCAACCCUGGUGGCGAGUGGCGAACGGGUGAGUAAUACAUCGGAACGUGUCCUGUAGUGGGGGAUAGCCCGGCGAAAGCCGGAUUAAUACCGCAUACGCUCUACGGAGGAAAGGGGGGGAUCUUAGGACCUCUCGCUACAGGGGCGGCCGAUGGCAGAUUAGCUAGUUGGUGGGGUAAAGGCCUACCAAGGCGACGAUCUGUAGCUGGUCUGAGAGGACGACCAGCCACACUGGGACUGAGACACGGCCCAGACUCCUACGGGAGGCAGCAGUGGGGAAUUUUGGACAAUGGGCGCAAGCCUGAUCCAGCAAUGCCGCGUGUGUGAAGAAGGCCUUCGGGUUGUAAAGCACUUUUGUCCGGAAAGAAAUCCUUUGGCCUAAUACGUCGGGGGGAUGACGGUACCGGAAGAAUAAGCACCGGCUAACUACGUGCCAGCAGCCGCGGUAAUACGUAGGGUGCAAGCGUUAAUCGGAAUUACUGGGCGUAAAGCGUGCGCAGGCGGUUCGCUAAGACAGAUGUGAAAUCCCCGGGCUUAACCUGGGAACUGCAUUUGUGACUGGCGGGCUAGAGUAUGGCAGAGGGGGGUAGAACUCCACGUGUAGCAGUGAAAUGCGUAGAGAUGUGGAGGAAUACCGAUGGCGAAGGCAGCCC